UUGACCUCGGAUCAGGUAGGGAUACCCGCUGAACUUAAGCAUAUCAAUAAGCGGAGGAAAAGAAACCAACAGGGAUUGCCUCAGUAACGGCGAGUGAAGCGGCAAGAGCUCAAAUUUGAAAGCUGGCCCCCUCGGG
rnacentral:rRNA from 1 species